UUUAUCGAUCUUAAAAAAAUUCAAGUCUUGUGUUAGCAAAAUUUCUCUAUUUUGGAGGGUUGCUAUUGUUCAGUAUUUUAUUGAUUUCUCGUGUUUAUGACUUCCUUCAUAUUUCUUUGGGCUUUCUCUGUUGUUCAUUUCCAACUUGCUGAGGUAAGUACUUAACUCAUUAGUGUUAAGUCUUUCUUGUUUUCUGAUAGAUAUAAGCUUAUUAAAUCUAUAAAUUUCAUUCUAAGUUGUUAUUUUAACUGGUAUAUUUUUUUUAAAGAUUUUAUUUAUUUAUUUGAGAGAGAGAGUAUGAGAGACAGCAUGAGAAGGAGGAGGGUCAGAGGGAGAAGCAGACUCCCCGCCAAGCAGGGAGCCCGAUGCGGGACUCGAUCCUGGGACUCCAGGAUCAUGACCUGAGCCGAAGGCAGUCGCUUAACCAACUGAGCCACCCAGGCGCCCCAUUAACUGUUGUGAGACAAGUAGAAGCAGAGAAUGAAGGAGGAAAAUGCUUGAGGUUUGGCUGAAUGCCUCCUCCCAGUGGAAGGAAAAUUAAAGAAAAUUUCUCCAGUUUAAGCCCAGUGGAUGGCCUAUAACCCAGAGAAAGAGGCUGAUCUACAUAGCACGGGAUCAUUAGUGACCAAACAGACGCCCCCAUCUAUAACCCAGAGACAGCUCUCAGCCGUACAGAGAACAUUUCACUUCCUACGUAGAGGGCAGACUGUCAUCUGAGCUCGGCCUGUCCUGCUGUCUGCUCUCUCCAGAGAGCAUCCUUCAUCCUGAUAAACGGGCUGUGAGCUGAGCACGUGACUGAGCUCCUUAAGAUGGCUCUUGGGUGAAAGCCACAUCAAGAGGAAUUCUGAAAGUGGCAUCUGGAUGAAAAGGGAGCUUCUUGGACACUCCAGCAGCUGGUGAGGACCUCAUGCCUUCUGAUUCCUUAGACUUCUGUCUGACGGCACCAUGGGUAGGUAUGUGAGAACAACUUCCAAGUCAGGGCUUCCCAGAGUGUCCUCUCUCUUGGCCCUCAGGCUUCUUCUCCCUUAGGUGUGGCCAAUUCUAAUUCACUAUUGCUUUAGAGUUGUAAUAUCCUUUUCACUUCUUAUUUAAGUUCCUAUAUCCCAAAAUUUAGUACAAUGAACAUUUAUAUGCAGCAAAAUAUAUGGUCCAGUUCUAACCCUUUGGUAGAUGUGCAAUUCCAUAUUGUUUAAUGUCACCCUAUUUGAGGUAGGCGGCAAAUCAGGGCUGUGCCCAAUUUACUUUCUCCUACCUUCUAACUUCUCCUCCCUCUCGUCAAGGGCCCGUGGUUGGGGCCUUGGCCUCAGCCGCCCGUCCAUCAGGCCAGCAUUAACAGGGCUGAUGCGGCCAGGCUGAGCUCACACAGCUGCCCCAGGACUUCCAAGUACUUUAAAACACACCUUGCUUAGGACUUUUUGUGGAUUUGGACCGAGUGUGGAGGCUAGAGGGGUGACCUCAGUGCCGGAAUAGGUCCCAGAGGCCUGGUAUUGGAGAGGAUAUACCACAACCUCUAGACCCCUGUGCUGGUGAUGUGACAGCCCAGAGCUCUGAGAACCAGUAGUCCCAUGACAACCCAGCUCUGGCCAGUCUGAGGUGGCAGGGAGGUCAUUGGAAUGUGGUUCCACAGAAUCCUUCUCUAUUUCCACCUUCAAGACCCCGUUAGGGGUUGUGAAAUGUCUUAGAUAAGCUCACAGUUAAGAUUCAGGAGAUAAUCACUGGCAAAAAUGACACGAAAUGCACAGACAGUAAGUACUUCAUAUUUAUCUCCUCAAAAGAGGUUUAACACCAGUAAAAAAUUGAAAAUAGACACAAAAUAGUUUUAAUUUUGAAAAUUGUCCAAUGGAAGCAUUUGAAUGUGUGAUAAAGCGUAUUCUCCGUCUACUAAGCAAAUGCUUUAGAAUCUGUGAACCGAGGCUGAUGGAGUCAGGAAGCUUUCUCCAGAUUUAAGCCUUGGCUCCCUCUAGUGUCUCUGACUCCACCUUUGUUUCAGCCCUAAAAUGCCUAGGAUCUACCAUCUAUUAAGUGAGGAUUCAAAGCCCAGUUCAACUAGUUCUCUUCCUUUUACUCCUCCAGAGUGACUGUUGAUCACAUACUUCUCCUCCCUCUAUGAGCUCUGUUAUCUCCUGUUGCUUACAACUGACAUUUUAUUAUAUUCAGUUUAUAAGAUAAUUGUUUCAUAUGUAUUGUUUUCCCUGCCCCCAUCACAAUUCUUUUUUUAAAUUUAUUUUUUAAAGAUUCCUGUAGUUACCAUUGUAUUAGUUUCAGGUGUACAAUUAGUUUCAGGUGCCAAGAUAAGUGUACCUUUACUCCCCUUCACCUCUUUCAUCCAUCCCCCCACCCACCUCCCUUCUGGCAACCAGCAGUUCUCUGUAUUUAAGAGUUUAUGGUUUUUUUGUCUCUUUUUCUCUUUGUUUGCUCUGUUUCUUCAAUUCCACAUAUGAAUGAAAUCAUCUGGUGUUUGUCCUUCUCUGCUGGUUUAUUUCACUUAGCAUUAGACCCUCUAGAUCCACCCAUGCUGUUGUAAAUACAGUUGGGUCUUUGAAAUGGGAAACCUAUAAUAUCAGGCACACAAUAGGUGCCUAAUACUUUAAACUGGGGAAUCAGCAUAUUAGAUUCCGUAGCAAAGGUAAUAUAGUUUCCCCCUUUUGAAAAAUGGGAAAGAGAUCCAGAGAAUAGCUGCAUUAUUCAUUCCACAAGUGUCUACGGAAACUUUUAAGUCCCUGUGCUAGGCGCUGUGGAGGAGUCAGAGGUGCUGACCAGAUGGGCCCAUCUCUCAUGCACCUGUCAGUGAGGCAUGAAAAACGACCUGUGCUCCCAUCACUAAAAGUGGAAACCAUAAAGAAGGUAAAGGAAGAGGAAUUUGGUGGCAAGUUUUAAGCAAGAGUGGCAAGGGAGAGACUGCACACAGGGAGACCGGCUAGAACACCAUUAUCAUUUUCAAGGCCUACACCAGAUUGAAAAUCCUGUGAAAGCAAGAAGCGGACCUUAUUUGGCUUUAUAUCCCCACUGCUUAACAAUGACUAGCAUAUGUAAGUGCUCAGCAUGUUUUAAAUGCAUUUGUGCAGUAAAUGUUGACCAGCUUUAUGAGUAGAUAGUUGCGAUGGUAUUACUUGAGGGGCACUGGAUAUCGCAGCUGCUGGACAAGGGGCAGCCGGAGUCUCUGGUUCUGAGCCCAGGACUAGGGUGGUCC